UUCCAUACUUUUCAACACUUCAAAGAACUUGAGAAAUAAUCUGCUGGCUGCAAAUCUAGAUCCAACCUGGAAGUUAUCAGAUAUUCUUAUUUGAGGGGAAAGAAAAGAAG